rnacentral:rRNA from 1 species
CCUACAGGAUGCUGCAGUGAGGAAUAUUGGUCAAUGGCCGGACGGCUGAACCAGCCAAGCCGCGUGAAGGACGAAGGUGCCAAGCAUUGUAAACUUCUUUUGUCAAGGGACAAAAUCAGGCUCGAGAGCCUGACCGAGGGUACUUGAAGAAAAAGCAUCGGCUAACUCCGUGCCAGCAGCCGCGGUAAGACGGAGGAUGCGAGCGUUAUCCGGAUGUAGUGGGUUUAAAGGGUGCGUAGGCGGACUGUUAAGUCAGCGGUAAAAGCCCGGGGCUCACCCCCGGCGAGCCGUUGAAACUGGCUGUCUUGAGAUGUCGAGAGGUAUGCGGAAUGCGCAGGGUAGCGGUGAAAUGCUUAGAUAUUGCGCAGAACUCCGAUUGCGAAGGCAGCAUACCGGCGGCGAUCUGACGCUGAGGCACGAAAGCGUGGGUAUCGAACAGGAUUAGAUACCCGGGUAGUC